UGUCUCUACUAUAAUAUUUGAAUUUAACUUUUAAGUGAAAAGGCUUAAAUAAUCUAAGGGGACGAUAAGACCCUAUAAAGCUUUACAUUAAAAUAAAAUAUAUUGUCACGUGUUUGUUUAACUUAAUUUAUUUUAAAAUUGUUUCGUUGGGGCGACGAGAAUAUAAAUGAUUAACUGUUCUUAAAUAAAAAUUACAAUAUUAAUUGUGUAAAAAUUGAUCCUUUAUUAAAGAUUAAAAGAUUGAGCUACUUUAGGGAUAACAGCGUAAUCUUCUUUGAGAGUCCAGAUCGACAAGAAGGGUU
rnacentral:rRNA from 1 species